rnacentral:rRNA from 1 species
GUGGGGAAUAUUGCGCAAUGGGGGAAACCCUGACGCAGCAAUACCGCGUGAGUGAAGAAGGUUUUCGGAUCGUAAAACUCUUUUAUUGGGGAAGAAGAAGUGACGGUACCCAAUGAAGAAGUCCCGGCUAACUACGUGCCAGCAGCCGCGGUAAUACGUAGGGGACAAGCGUUGUCCGGAAUCACUGGGCGUAAAGGGCGCGUAGGCGGUUUUAUAAGUCAGAUGUGAAAGGUACCGGCUCAACCGGUGACGUGCAUUUGAAACUGUAAGACUUGAGUACUGGAGAGGCAAGUGGAAUUCCUAGUGUAGCGGUGAAAUGCGUAGAUAUUAGGAGGAACACCGGUGGCGAAGGCGGCUUGCUGGACAGAUACUGACGCUGAGGUGCGAAAGCGUGGGGAGCGAACAGGAUUAGAAACCCGAGUAGUC